rnacentral:rRNA from 1 species
UGGGGAAUAUUGCACAAUGGGGGAAACCCUGAUGCAGCGACGCCGCGUGAACGAAGAAGGUAUUCGUAUCGUAAAGUUCUGUCCUAUGGGAAGAUAAUGACAGUACCAUAGAAGAAAGCUCCGGCUAAAUACGUGCCAGCAGCCGCGGUAAUACGUAUGGAGCGAGCGUUGUCCGGAAUUAUUGGGCGUAAAGGGUACGCAGGCGGUUUAAUAAGUCGAAUGUUAAAGAUCGGGGCUCAACCCCGCAAAGCAUUGGAAACUGAUAAACUUGAGUAGUGGAGAGGAAAGUGGAAUUCCUAGUGUAGUGGUGAAAUACGUAGAUAUUAGGAGGAAUACCAGUAGCGAAGGCGACUUUCUGGACACAAACUGACGCUGAGGUACGAAAGCGUGGGGCGCAAACAGG